UUUUUUUAAAUUUCCUCACUCAACCAGCCGUCAAAAGCCUCCCUUUGUUUUCCUUUUGCUUCCCAGCCGCCUGAAGCUUUUUCCUCUAUUUUUUCUUUCUCAACUUUUCUCACUCCGUCGCACCUCUAUUUCUCCUGUUUUUUUCCUCCUGACCGAAGCUCUCUGUUUCCUCUUUUCCGUCCUCUCACAAUUUCCAGAUUUUCCCCCUAUUCUCUCAACUCUUUCGGUCUUUUUUUUCUUUGGGUUCCCCCGUCCGCCGCCCCUUUCUUUUUCGUUCCUUUCUCCUCUUUUGGUUAUCUUCUCUGUUUUCUUCCAAAGCUCCCGAUUUCUCCCUCGCGC
rnacentral:lncRNA from 1 species